UACGUAGGGUGCAAGCGUUAAUCGGAAUUACUGGGCGUAAAGCGUGCGCAGGCGGCUUUGCAAGACAGAUGUGAAAUCCCCGGGCUCAACCUGGGAACUGCAUUUGUGACUGCACGGCUAGAGUGUGUCAGAGGGGGGUAGAAUUCCACGUGUAGCAGUGAAAUGCGUAGAGAUGUGGAGGAAUACCGAUGGCGAAGGCAGCCCCCUGGGAUAACACUGACGCUCAUGCACGAAAGCGUGGGGAGCAAACAGG
rnacentral:rRNA from 1 species